rnacentral:tRNA from 1 species
GGGCCGUUAGCUCAAUUGGCUAGAGCGUUUGCAUGGCAUGCAAAAGGUUGUCGGUUCAAGUCCGAUACGGUCCACAA